rnacentral:rRNA from 1 species
UACGUAGGGUGCGAGCGUUAAUCGGAAUUACUGGGCGUAAAGCGUGCGUAGGCGGUUCGUUAAGUUCGUUGUGAAAGCCCCGGGCUCAACCUGGGAACUGCAUUGGAAACUAACGGGCUCGAGUGUGGCAGAGGGGGGUGGAAUUCCACGUGUAGCAGUGAAAUGCGUAGAGAUGUGGAGGAACACCGAUGGCGAAGGCAGCCCCCUGGGCUAACACUGACGCUCAGGCACGAAAGCGUGGGGAGCAAACAGG